UACGUAGGGUGCGAGCGUUGUCCGGAAUUAUUGGGCGUAAAGAGCUCGUAGGCGGUGUGUCGCGUCGGCCGUGAAAACCUGGGGCUCAACUCUGGGCGUGCGGUCGAUACGGGCAUCACUUGAGUUCGGCAGGGGAGACUGGAAUUCCUGGUGUAGCGGUGAAAUGCGCAGAUAUCAGGAGGAACACCGGUGGCGAAGGCGGGUCUCUGGGCCGAUACUGACGCUGAGGAGCGAAAGCGUGGGUAGCAAACAGG
rnacentral:rRNA from 1 species